rnacentral:rRNA from 1 species
CCUACGGGCGGCAGCAGUGGGGAAUAUUGGACAAUGGGGGCAACCCUGAUCCAGCCAUGCCGCGUGUGUGAAGAAGGCCCUCGGGUUGUAAAGCACUUUCAGUGAGGAAGAACGCCUGGUGGUUAAUACCCAUCAGGAAAGACAUCACUCACAGAAGAAGCACCGGCUAACUCCGUGCCAGCAGCCGCGGUAAUACGGAGGGUGCGAGCGUUAAUCGGAAUUACUGGGCGUAAAGCGCGCGUAGGUGGCUUGAUAAGCCGGUUGUGAAAGCCCCGGGCUCAACCUGGGAACGGCAUCCGGAACUGUCAAGCUAGAGUGCAGGAGAGGAAGGUAGAAUUCCCGGUGCAGCGGUGAAAUGCGUAGAGAUCGGGAGGAAUACCAGUGGCGAAGGCGGCCUUCUGGACUGACACUGACACUGAGGUGCGAAAGCGUGGGUAGCAAACAGGAUUAGAUACCCUGGUAGUC